rnacentral:lncRNA from 1 species
GAAUUUGCAUUUACAAUUCCAAAUAUGCACUCGUGCUAAGACGAAAGAAUGUCUGUUCGCUUUCAAGCUGGGUUUGGCAUGACCUCUAGGUUUUAAUAUUUUCAACAAAGUGUCAUUUGACAAUUCAACCACAUUUAGAAAGAAGAGAAAAGUGAAUGUCCUCUCAUACACGUGCCGACUGGAUUGAGAGUCAGAUGAGAAGACUUAGCCCAGAGCCAUCGACUUUAUUUUAUCUUUUGCUUUCACCCGUUAUUUAAUUUUUUAAAAUCUCCACAGAAACACAAUCAUUUUCAUUUCUAGGUCUUAACUUCUGUUUUGGUUACGAGGGUCAACAUGAGGCUUCCUAAGAAGACCAGGGAAUCUGCAUUUCCUGAUGCAAAAGCAUUAAGCCAAGUGGUUUUCCCUGUCUGUCUCCAUGUCUUGCAUCCAACCCAGCCUCCCUACCUUCCCCAUCCUAGCUCCAACAGGAAGGGGAUCUAAUCACAGCCAAAUCUCCCAGGUGUAGAUUUUGUCAGAGGGCAAUACCCCAUAAAUGCUACAAGACUUCCGGGGACUCUGUUCUUUGCCCCCAAGCAAUGGUGAAUAGUGGCUUCCAAAGGCCCCCUUGGAGUCUCAGGUCAUCCCGCAGGCAGGGAGCCCAGUUGUGAUGGGUGCAGUCCCUUGAGAGGCCAGGAGGAGGGUGUCUUGUCCUUCAGAAGUCCUGUUAUGGGCCGCGGUCCCCCUAGCACGGAAGGCUCUGUCCUGAUGAAUGUGUGGAAUUGGCUCCACGACUCAGCCUGCAGAUCUGCUUGUCACAAUAAUCAAUGACGCCUCAGGCUGUGCCACCCAGCUCCGUUUUACUUAGAAGUCGGUGGAACAGUGGGAUUCCUCAUGAUGGCUUCAUUCAGCACUCCAGCAGGCCUGUGGGCACAGGACGGGGACCCCCUGCUGGUGUGAUUGGUGGGGGAUGCCAGACUUGGAGCUGAUAUCUUCCCUCAAGAGAUCCUGCAACUGUGUCGGGCAACCUUACAGCCCAGGAAGGUGCAGGCAGCCACCCUCCCACCUUGAUACCUCCUGGGCUUAAUGGCCUUUAUUUGCACUGUGAACUGAUGGGACUCACCUGUACCAGAGAGGAAUGCAAUUGAGUGACAUCCUCCAAGCACCUGGAAAGGCCACCACUUAGUGCCAUAUUUGCAGUGCUUCCCAGCAACGUCCACCUGUGUGUCCUUAACAGCGGAGGCGAGGGAGGAUGUCUGAAAAUUCUUUGAAGUGUUAUAUUUUAUCUAAAAAAAAAAAAAAGUUUGUGAGGCCAGGUGCAAUGGCUCAUGCCUGUAAUCCCAGCACUUCGGGAGGCUGGGGUGGGUGGAUCGCUUGAGGCCAGGAGUUCAAGACCAGCCUGGCCAAAAUGGCGAAACCCUGCCUCAGGUAGAAAUACAGAAAUUAGCCCGGCGCUGUGGCGGGCGCUUGUAAUCCCAGCUACUCAGGAGGCUGAGGCAGAUGCGUCACUUGAGCCUGGAAGGUGGAGGUUGCAGUGAGCCAAAAUCGCACCACUGUACUCCAGCCUGGGCAACAGAGCGAAACUCUGUCUCAAAAAAAAAAAAAAAAAAAAAAGUUUGUGGAAAAUUACAUUCUACUUCAUCACAUAUCUGUUUCUUUCUACUUCUUUUUUCUAAAAAAUUAUAGUAAAAUAUGCAUACCAUAAAAUUUGCAAUCUUAACCAUUUUUAAGUGUACAGUUCAGUGGCGUUAAGUACAUUCGCGUUGUUGUGCAACCAUGCUGCCAUCCAUCCGUAUGGCCUAUAAAUCCUAAAAGAUCUGGCUGUGAUCAGACCCCCUUCCUGGUGGAGCUGGGAUGGGGUAUGGUAGGGAUGCAAGGUUGAAGGGGAGAGAUGAAGAGAGACCGGAUUCUUUUUCACAUUACAAACUGAAACUUUAUACCCAUUAAACAUUCAUUUCCUGCCAGGCACGGUGGCUCAAGCCCAUGAUUCCAGCACUUUGGGAGGCUGAGGUGGGCGAAUCGCUUGAGGCCAGGAGUUCGAGACCAGCUUGGCCAGCAUGGUGAAACCUUGUCUCUACUAAAAAUACAAAAAGUAGCUGGGUGUGGUGCCACAUGCCUGUAAUCCCAGCUACUCGGGAGGCUGAGGCAGGAGAAUCGCUUGAACCCAGGAGGUGGAGGUUCCCGUGAGUUGAGAUUGCACCACUGCACUUAAGCCUGGGUGACACAGAGAGACUUCGUCUCAAAAAUAAUAAAACUAAAAUAAAAUAAAAUAAAAAUGAAAAAGAUUCAUCCCCACUCCCUGCUCCUCAACCCCUUGCAACACAAUUUUUUCUGUCUCUAUGAAUUUGACUGCUCUAAAUACCUCAUAUGAGUGGAAUCAUACAGUAUUUGUCUUUUUGGUGAUAUUUCACUCAGUGUAAUGUUCUCAAGGUUCAUCUAAGUUGUAGGAAUUUCCUUCUUUUUUAAGUCGGAAUUUCUUUCUUUUUUAAGACUAAUAUCCCAUUGUACAUUUGUACCACAUUUUGUUUCUGUAUCUGUGUCUUUUAAAUAAAAUGUCUUACAUUACUCACCAGUUAAAUGAGGUAUUCACAUUAUAAUAAGGCCUGACAUGUAAGGCCAGGCCCUAGCAAACUUUUUCUUAAAGGAGCAGAUAAUAAAUAUUUCAGGCUUUACAGGCCGUAAGGCCUCCAUUGCAAUCACACAACUGUGAAAUUCUUCUGUUGCAGCACUAAAGCCACGACAGACCACAUGUAAAUGAAUGGAUGGAGCUGUAUUCCAAUAAAACUUUGUUUACAAAAACAGGCAGUGUGACAGAUUUGGCCUGUGGUGAGUGGUUUUCAGACCCCUGGUCUAGGAAGUCAAUCUGGUGUAUCAUUAAGAACGUAGGCUUUGGUGUCAAUGGAAUGAGUUUUUCAAUUCACACAAAAAAACCUUUUUCUUCUUCAGGGUUCACAUAUGUCCCAGGGUACCCAACUGGAUUACUCUGCCCAGAACUGCCCUCACCCCUGAUCUUCAGGUCCUGCGACUGAAUCUGACACACUCUGGUCAAACUCCUCCCCAAAUGAUUGAUUUUUUUUUUCUUGGAUGACUCACAGGUCCUCCCCAACAUGACCACCCAAAGUUGAACACAUAUGCCUGCGAGUGACUGAGUGAUGAUUGUGUACAAGAAGGUUGAUAUGGUUUGGCUAUGUCCCCACUCAAAAUCUCAUCUUGAAUUUCAAUUCCUGUAAUCCCCACGUAUCAGGGGAGAGACCAGGUGGAGGUAAUUGAAUCCUGGGGACGAUUUCCCCCAUACUGUUCUCAUGAUAGUGAAUUCUCAAGAGAUCGGAUGGUUUUGUGUUUGGAGUUCCUCCUGUAUUCAUUCUCCUUCCUGCCACCUUGUGAAGAAGGUGCCUUCCUUCCCCUUUGCCUUCCGCCAUGAUUGUAAGUUUCCUGAGACUUCCCUAGCCAUGCUGAACUGUGCAUCAACUAAACCUCUUUUCUUUAUAAAUUACCCAAUCUCAAGUAUUUCCUUAUAGCAAUGUGAGAAUGGACUAAUACCAAGUUUUCCCUGCAGCACGUCUUCAGUCCUGACAUAGGCCCAGAUGGGUACAGACACUUGGGGAAUUGAGUGUCGCUACUGCAGAUGCUAAGAGUACCCAAAGGCCAGUCCUGGCCCAAAUAAAAACUCUGCAUCACUCUGUUACAGUAAAAUCUUUGUAGUUGUUUGCAAAGUGUCUAUUCCCAUCAUGGAAGGGAUUUUUACUGGGGACAGUUGGCACUUUAUCUUGGCCUCCCAGAGAUUCUGACUCUAAACCGAGAAUGCCAAACGAUGUAUCUGAUGCCUCCACCAAUAUCUCAGGAGGAGAAUACGUGAGUUUGGGAACCAGGUAGGUUGUAUAACCUCCAAAACAAGGUUUCCAAGUGGAGGCUUUCUCCCCUGUCUUCUGGACAGUCUUAAGAUAUUUUAAAAAAUUAUCUAGGUAUAACUGACAUAUAAUAAGCUGCACAUAAAGCAUAUAAUUUGAUGAAUUUUGACAUAGGUCUAUAGCAAUAAAACCAUCACUACAACCAAGAUAGUGAACAGAUCCAUCUCCUGCAAAGUUUCCUCAUACUCCUUGGUAAUCCCUCCCUAUCUCUCCAACACCCUUCUCCCCAGGUAACCACUGAUCCACUUUCUAUUAGUUUGCAUUGUUUGGAGUUUUGUGUAAAUGGAUUCAUAUAAUACGUACUCUUUUUUGGUUCACUUUUUUCGCUAAACAUUUUGAGAUUCAUCUAUGUCAUUGAAUGAUCAAUAGCUUAUUUCUUUUUAUUGCUGAAUAGUAGUCUGCUGUUUGUAUAUG